GCUUGCUCCUUUGACGUUAGCGGCGGACGGGUGAGUAACACGUGGGCAACCUACCCUAUAGUUUGGGAUAACUCCGGGAAACCGGGGCUAAUACCGAAUAAUCUCUUUUGCUUCAUGGCGAAAGACUGAAAGACGGUUUCGGCUGUCGCUAUAGGAUGGGCCCGCGGCGCAUUAGCUAGUUGGUGAGGUAACGGCUCACCAAGGCGACGAUGCGUAGCCGACCUGAGAGGGUGAUCGGCCACACUGGGACUGAGACACGGCCCAGACUCCUACGGGAGGCAGCAGUAGGGAAUCUUCCACAAUGGGCGAAAGCCUGAUGGAGCAACGCCGCGUGAGUGAAGAAGGUUUUCGGAUCGUAAAACUCUGUUGUAAGGGAAGAACAAGUACAGUAGUAACUGGCUGUACCUUGACGGUACCUUAUUAAAAAGCCACGGCUAACUACGUGCCAGCAGCCGCGGUAAUACGUAGGUGGCAAGCGUUGUCCGGAAUUAUUGGGCGUAAAGCGCGCGCAGGCGGUCCUUUAAGUCUGAUGUGAAAGCCCACGGCUCAACCGUGGAGGGUCAUUGGAAACUGGGGGACUUGAGUGCAGAAGAGGAAAGUGGAAUUCCAAGUGUAGCGGUGAAAUGCGUAGAGAUUUGGAGGAACACCAGUGGCGAAGGCGACUUUCUGGUCUGUAACUGACGCUGAGGCGCGAAAGCGUGGGGAGCAAACAGGA
rnacentral:rRNA from 2 species